rnacentral:piRNA from 1 species
GACAUUGUGUGGAAUGGCUGAAUG